GAUGAACGCUGGCGGCGUGCCUAAUACAUGCAAGUCGAGCGAACGGACGAGAAGCUUGCUUUUCUGAUGUUAGCGGCGGACGGGUGAGUAACACGUGGAUAACCUACCUAUAAGACUGGGAUAACUUCGUGAAACCGGUGCUAAUACCGGAUAAUAUUUUGAACCGCAUGGUUCAAAAGUGAAAGACGGUCUUGCUGUCACUUAUAGAUGGAUCCGCGCUGCAUUAGCUAGUUGGUAAGGUAACGGCUUACCAAGGCAACGAUGCAUAGCCGACCUGAGAGGGGGAUCCGCCACGCGGGAGUUGCGAGCCGGACCAGGACCCUACGGGAGGCCGCAGUAGGACAGCUUCCGCAAGGGGCGAAAGCCUGACGGAGCGACGCAGCGUGAGUGAUGAAGGUCUUCGGCUCGUAAAACUCUGUUAUUAGGGAAGAAGAUAUGUGUAAGUAACUGUGCACUUCUUGACGGUACCUAAGCAGAAAGCCCCGGCUAACUCCGU
rnacentral:rRNA from 1 species